AUGUUGUUGAAGAUAUCAAGGCAUCGCCUCAUCAAGCCUCUGGCCAAAUCUUCUGCCUUCCUGCUCCUCCAGGCAGUGACUGAGAAGCCAGAAGUGUCGACCUGUCCCACAAACCGCUGCCUAAUCCACGUCUUGGUCUCACACUACCAUCAGGAGCAAACAGAUUUCAUAAUUGCCCUGAGCCAAAGUGGAGACUGGGUCCAGCUCCAGCAUCUGGACAGCUCCCCAAGUAUGCAAGGAUAGGUCAAGGGAGUGAAACACAGCGCAGACCUGAUCAUGCUGGCCCAUGCAAGAGGAUGUGGAAACAACUCUCUCUGACUCAUCUUUUAAUGAGACUGAACAUGAGCAUCAGCACAACUGAGUUCACAGCACAGCUCUGCCAUUGACAAACCUGUUGGACCUUAGGUGAGUGACAGUACACCUUACCCGCAGCUUCUAACUUGUGAAGUUAAUACUGGGUAUCUCAAAGAAUAUGUGGGGGAUUAAAUGUGCCAAUAGGUGUACAAAGAUUUUAUAUUUGAUAUAUUUUAUAUAUUUUUAACAUAUAAAUAUAGAACAUAUUAAGUACAUUUUUAUGAGAAUUGUGGCCAUUUUUACUGUCAUUCUUAGAUUGAAUAAUUAAUUCAAUUAAGUGUUUUACUUCCUCUGAAUCCCAGGUAAGGCCACUAUUUUCAUGGUGUGAAAUCAGACAACUACCAAGCUGCAGCAACUUGACUUUUUUUUUAUUUGGAUGACUCUGAAUGAAAUUCUCUGCAGAUUAUGUUAAAACACCAGAGAAGGAAGAAAUUUCAUUUGACUAUAGAAAAUAGUAUAUUUUAUGCCAUUUUAAUUCCUUGAAAGGAUACUCAACAUGUAUUAAUUAUGGUAGUUCUAGCUAAUAUAGUUGAUUAACUCCAAAACCUGAGUGAAAUAAAACAAUAUUAGCUUGUUGACCA
rnacentral:lncRNA from 1 species